AAGACUUGACGAUUGAUUCCUCAAAAUGGUUACUUACGAAACGCAGGCAGACCUACAUCAUGCUGCGGGGAGCUAAACACGGAUCUUUCAACGUUGUUGCUCGAAUGGAUGCUCUCAAACAUUCCAAGGGAACUAAAUGCAAUCAAUACUGGAGCAGUUUAAGUGAACAAUUUGUGAAGAUUUCUUGCUCGACUUGAAAGAUGGAAAAGACAUGUAUAUCUGUAUUUGUGUUCUUAGUUCAGAUUUAGUUGUUUUGGUUGUUAGCUUAUUUAUUAACAUGGAUGGUGUGCUGGUGUGUGUGCUUUGCUUCAAGUUCUUAGGAAGAAUUCCAAAGCACCGCCAAGAAAUUAAAGUAGAUGAGGAACCUUGGGAUUUCUUUCACAUGUAUUUCCAAGCAACAACACUCGCACAAACAGCACUCUUCCUUACUACUAAAACGUCAGUGCGCUGCAAUUCAACCACAUUGCGACAGCAUUCUCACAGCAUUUGCCAUUUGUUCGCCAUUUUUAUGGCAACAACAGUUUUAUAUCAUAUAUUGUACAUUUACUAAAGUACCCUGGCCAAAUCAAGGCAUACCCACCAGUACUAAGUACAUCAUAGCAGCUAAAGUCCGACACUUUAUGGCACUUAAGUAUUAUUAAUCUAUUUGUCGUAUUCUUCAUACUUUAUGUUUAGGAUCUGUUUGAGGUAUUGAUAAUAUUUCUCUACAGAAACUCAGUGGCGGGUCCAGGAAUUUAAAAAGGGGGGUUCCAAAAUGGCCGUCACGUAUAAAAAGCUGGUAAGAUUGGCUUCACAAAACGGGGGUUCCAAUUUCAUUGAGCUGAGCGUAAAAAACAUGAUUGGCUUCACAAGAUCUAACAAAAGGGGGUUUCCAUGGAACCCAUUGAACCACCUCUGGAUCAGCCACUGUAACUAAUAAGGUUUUGGUGCUUGUUCAUCCGUACAAGACGUGACAAGAUGUGUCCUUCAAAUUACAGCAUGAAAACUUGCUUCAAGAAUUUAUACACUAAAUAUUGUGGAUUACAGUCAAAUAAAUAUCGUUAAUAAACAAUAAAUUGUAUAAAAA